AUUUGCGGCCUAUGGUGCGGAGCGCGGAAACGCCCCGGCGCUUGCUAACACUGAAAAGCGUAGGACACCUAAGGGCUGCAUUUUU
ncrna:unclassified sequences c4-2 RNA